rnacentral:rRNA from 1 species
UACGUAGGGACCAAGCGUUGUUCGGAUUUACUGGGCGUAAAGGGCGCGUAGGCGGCAAUUCAAGUCAUCUGUGAAAUCUCCGGGCUUAACCCGGAACGGUCAGAUGAUACUGCUUUGCUAGAGUGCGGAAGGGGCAAUCGGAAUUCUUGGUGUAGCGGUGAAAUGCGUAGAUAUCAGGAGGAACACCUGUGGCGAAAGCGGCUCACUGGACCAUAACUGACGCUGAUGCACGAAAGCUAGGGGAGCAAACAGG